rnacentral:rRNA from 1 species
GAUGAACGCUGACAGAAUGCUUAACACAUGCAAGUCAACUGUGGCGGACGGGUGAGUAACGCGUAAAGAACUUGCCUCACAGAUAGGGACAACAUUUGGAAACGAAUGCUAAUACCCGAUACUGUGAGAGAGCUUUGCGUCCCAUUAGCUCGUUGGAGAGGUAACGGCUCACCAAGGCGAUGAUGGGUAGCCGGCCUGAGAGGGUGAUCGGACACAAGGGGACGGAGACACUGCCCUUACUCCUACGGGAGGCAGCAGUGGGGAAGAUUGGACAAUGGACCAAAGUCUGAUACAGCAAUGCUGUGUGCACGAUGAAGUUUUCGGAAUGUAAAGUGCUUUCAGUUGGGAAGCAGUACCAACAGAAGAAGUGACUGCUAAAUACGUGCCAGCAGCCGCGGUAAUUC